UGUGAGAUAAAAAUCAAACAAUUGAACUAAACUGAACAUCUGAUAAUUGCGAUGGGGACCUAAAGUUUUUGACCUAUCAUCUUCUAAUUCUAAGUUAGCAUCUCCAUUUAUCACGAAUAUUGUCAUAUCUGCAGUUGCCUGUCAUUUGUAGCAUUUCUUGUGUUAUAGUCAAACACUGAAGGUACAUUUAAUUCUUCAGUUUAUCUGCAAAAAGAGAUGCAGCGCUAUAAUGGAAGGCCUCAACAGACAGUGAUUCAAAUCCACAUUAGUGCAACUUUGUCCUCAGCUGCCAAAAAUGUGAAUGAAGUUUGGUGGAGAUGAUCUGAGAGGAGUUCAUUCCUGUGGGUUUUACAACACGCGGCACGGUGAGAUGAUGGACAGAUUGUAAAGCAGCCAGCGUUUAUAGACAGAUCCACAGAGAUUACUGCACCGCUGGCCCUCCCCUGUGUAGCGAUGGAUGGGGAAGGAUGCAGAGCCAUGUGACUGAGCUUCCGUCUCCCUGUCAGACACACACAGACGCACACACUUCAUCAUACAUGAACAGAACCGAGGGAUUUUUCCAUAUAGCACCCUAACUUCUUUCUUUCCCUUUCUUUCCCAUUCCUCUCGCUUCCUCAGGUUGGGUGAAUCCCUGCUCAAGCAGAAGAAAUCAUGCAGCAGCAUCCUAUAUUUAGAGCCCUGUUUGAUCAUACGAGUCUCUCCGCUCCGUCUCUGCAGUACUCAGCUCUGCUCAGUCGAUUACAGAUUUGGGACAACUGGACCCAAGCCAUGCCAGAAGAUUGACCCUCACAGCGUAACAAAGCCAGAUCCUGUCACUGUAGGACUCAAGAGGUUUCCCAGAGACUAUGGGUUGAGGAGGAAUUGGAAGUUUGUCGGCUUAGACCUGGUGUCAUUCCAUCAGUGUCAAACUUCCCGGCUCAUCUUGGAAGAGUACGUGCCAGAAAGACCACGACCAAGCAGCCUUGAGAUCUUAGGCAGCGUCUCCCUCAGGUCCCUCUCUCUAUCUCCCCAUACAUCCACCAACCACUGGAACACAUCUCCAAAGUUCUGCCGGGCCAGCUCAGCUUCCCCUCAGAAGAAGUGCCGCCACCUGCCAGAUGAAGGAGCCUUUUGAGAGGCAGCUGGCAUCGUGAUUGGACUGUACUUUGGUCUGUUCCAAUCCAGCUUCAGCUCCAGAGACGGCAGGCGGGACGAGUCAACGGAGGCCUGGUGGACGAAGGCAUGCAGCUGAGUACAAUCCAGAAAACAACAGAGGAGGAGUGCAGCAGCCCAGGGCCAGAAUAAACAGAGAAGCACAUUAUGUCUCUUAGAAAACAUCAUAGUAUAGCCUUUGGUAUGAAAAAAACGUCAUCAUAUACAUCGUACAUUGUACAAAUAACAAGUCAAAGGAAAGAGACAUACAUUGUAGAAUUGUAGUAAUUGUGGGCUGACUGAUUUACUGAUUAUCAGUAUUUUAUUUUUUACUGAUUUACAGUAAUAAAUACAUUUAAAAAUGG